UGAUCCCUCGCCAUCGACGGGCCCCUCUCCGCUCGCCCUUGCCGGUGAUUUGGGGUCCCGCCGAACCUCUCUUCUACCGCUGCCGCCGCCGCCGACGAUGACGACGCCCAUCCCGGCCUCCAGCGCGGGCCUGCCGCGGACCGCCUCUUGCCGCCGAACCUCUCUUCAUCCACCUCCUAGAUCCAGCCAUCUCUAGCGGAGGAAUGAGGAGAGCACCAGGAGGAGAGCAGGGGAGGGGGCACCAUCGGGGAGGAUGAUCUGCUGCGGGGAGCACCAGGAGGAGAGCUAGCUCAAAGAAGCAUUUGAGAGGAAGAUGAGCACUG
rnacentral:lncRNA from 1 species